rnacentral:rRNA from 1 species
CCUACGGGAGGCAGCAGUGAGGAAUAUUGGUCAAUGGACGAGAGUCUGAACCAGCCAAGUAGCGUGAAGGAUGACUGCCCUAUGGGUUGUAAACUUCUUUUAUAAAGGAAUAAAACGAGGCACGUGUGCCUUUUUGCAUGUACUUUAUGAAUAAGGAUCGGCUAACUCCGUGCCAGCAGCCGCGGUAAUACGGAGGGACCGGACGUUAGCCGGAUGUAUUGGGUUUAAAGGGAGCGUAGAUGGGUUGUUAAGUCAGUUGUGAAAGUUUGCGGCUCAACCGUAAAAUUGCAAUUGAUACUGGCAGUCUUGAGUACAGUUGAGGUAGGCGGAAUUCGUGGUGUAGCGGUGAAAUGCUUAGAUAUCACGAAGAACCCCGAUUGCGAAGGCAGCUUACUAAACUGUGACUGACAUUGAUGCUCGAAAGUGUGGGUAUCAAACAGGAUUAGAUACCCCAGUAGUC